rnacentral:rRNA from 1 species
AGAGUUUGAUCCUGGCUCAGGAUGAACGCUGGCGGCGUGCUUAACACAUGCAAGUCGAACGGAGUUUACUUAACAGAUUCCUUCGGGAUGACGUUUUUUAAACUUAGUGGCGGACGGGUGAGUAACGCGUGGGUAACCUGCCUUACACAGGGGGAUAGCAGUUGGAAACGACUGGUAAUACCGCAUACCUUACAUUAUUCGCAUGUUUGAUGUAAGAAAGAUUUUAUCGGUGUAAGAUGGACCCGCGUCUGAUUAGCUAGUUGGUGUGGUAACGGCAUACCAAGGCGACGAUCAGUAGCCGGCCUGAGAGGGUGAACGGCCACAUUGGGACUGAGAUACGGCCCAAACUCCUACGGGAGGCAGCAGUGGGGAAUAUUGCACAAUGGAGGCAACUCUGAUGCAGCGACGCCGCGUGAGUGAAGAAGUAUUUCGGUAUGUAAAGCUCUACCAGUAGGGAAGAUAAUGACGGUACCUACAGAAGAAGCCCCGGCUAAAUACGUGCCAGCAGCCGCGGUAAUACGUAUGGGGCAAGCGUUAUCCGGAUUCAUUGGGCGUAAAGCGCGCGUAGGCGGAGCGCUAAGCGGGACCUCUAACCCGAGGGCUUCAACCCCCGGCCGGGUCCCGAACUGGCGCUCUCGAGUGCGGUAGGGGAGAGCGGAAUUCCCGGUGUAGCGGUGGAAUGCGCAGAUAUCGGGAAGAACACCGACGGCGAAGGCAGCUCUCUGGGCCGAAACUGACGCUGAGGCGCGAAAGCUGGGGGAGCGAACAGGAUUAGAUACCCUGGUAGUCCCAGCCGUAAACGAUGGGCGCUAGGUGUGGGGGAGAAGACCCCCCGUGCCGCAGCCAACGCAUUAAGCGCCCCGCCUGGGGAGUACGGCCGCAAGGCUAAAACUCAAAGGAAUUGACGGGGGCCCGCACAAGCAGCGGAGCAUGUGGCUUAAUUCGAAGCAACGCGAAGAACCUUACCAGGGCUUGACAUGCAGGUGAAGCGGCGGAGACGCCGUGGCCGAGAGGAGCCUGCACAGGUGGUGCAUGGCUGUCGUCAGCUCGUGUCGUGAGAUGUUGGGUUAAGUCCCGCAACGAGCGCAACCCCUAUCUUUAGUAGCCAGCGGUCAGGCCGGGCACUCUAGAGAGACUGCCAGGGAUAACCUGGAGGAAGGUGGGGAUGACGUCAAAUCAUCAUGCCCCUUAUGAGCAGGGCUACACACGUGCUACAAUGGCGUAAACAAAGGGAGGCAGAACCGCGAGGUCGAGCAAAUCCCAAAAAUAACGUCUCAGUUCGGAUUGUAGUCUGCAACUCGACUACAUGAAGCUGGAAUCGCUAGUAAUCGCGAAUCAGAAUGUCGCGGUGAAUACGUUCCCGGGUCUUGUACACACCGCCCGUCA